rnacentral:lncRNA from 10 species
AGAAGCAACUGGUAGAGAAUUCAUCAAACUCUAUAGACAGGAAGAGGGCUUGAUUUCUGCUGUCCUGGCCCUGCCCAGAGCUCAGGACGGAGGUCCAAGGAUGCCUGCUCCUCCAGGCAUCAUUGCACACCAGCCAGCAGGAAGGAAGACAAUGAAAGGGGAGGGCCCUCUUCUUUCAAAAACAGCAUCUGGAAGUUGUGCUCACAUCCCAUUGGCCAAUAUCUAGCCAACACGAGCAUUCCUGGUUGCAUGGGAAGCUGCAAAGCACAUUAGCUAGGUGGCCAUGAGCUCUGAACAAGCUCUCUUACCAUGGAAGAAGAUAACAACAGAUACUGGAGGAAAAUCAUCAGUUUAACUACAAAUGUUAUUCAAAGGAAAAUUGAGAUGCUACUAUCAGAAGAUGUAGGCAUUCAAAUCAACACAGACCACUAAAAAAACAUUUAUGUUUGAGGCACUCUGGAUUUGCAGUUUUACAUAGGGCACUUUCUUGAAUUAAUUAAGAGAACUGUUAUGGACUGAAUGUUUGUGUCCCUCACAAAUUCAUGUGUUGAAAUCCCAAUCCUCAAUGUGAUAGUCUUAGAAGGUGGGGCCUUUGGGAGGUGAUUAGGUCACGAAGAGGGACCUCUCAUGAAUGGGAUUGACAGCUUUAUUAAAAGAGACAACACAGGGCUUGACCCUCUCCAUCUGCUCUCUACCAUGUGAGGAUACAAUAAGAAGAUGGCUAUCUGUGAACCAGGACGAGGGCUCUACCAAGAACCUGACCUGGCUGGCACCCUCAUCUCAGGCUUUGAGCCUCCAGAAUUGUGAGAAAUAAAUAUCUGUCGUUUAAGCCACCUAAUCUAUGGUAUUUUGUAGCAGUCUGAACAAAGGCAGAAGCUAACUCAGAAGCACCUCCCUAUUUAAAACCCCAAGGAGCUCCACUGCACUCAGGACAAUAUCCAAACUCCUCCAAUAGCCUACAAGCACCCUCAUGACACAGGCUCUGCCUACUAUACAGCUUUAUGAUAGAAUCAUACUCAAUUUCCUGGUGGGAUCUGACUCCAACUCCUCCUUCAAAACCCUGAUUCUCAUCAAGAAGUAAUAUCUUCCCAGCCUGACCAGCAGUAGAAACAAACUAAAUUUUUGUCUUGCCAAACACCGAGUUUUGCCUUCCUGGUUCAAUGGUUUGAUUUGUCUAUCUGCAAAGUGUUUUGCCCCUAAGGCUUUGGUAGUCUAGACUGUUUGCCUAAUUGUCCCUGCCCUGGGAUGUCAGAUAGCAGAGUCUUUUUCAGAAGAAAAGGAGCUGCACUAUGGACUAUUCCAAGUUGCCAAAAAACCAAUCCCAACUACUCACUGAAAAGCACCUGCUGUCAAGCAGACCACAGGCACUGCUGGGCUUUUCUUCUUUGCUGAAUCAAUCUACUCCUGAUUUUACCGCUUACCAGCUGUGCAACCAUGGGCUGUCCCAAGAAAGGCAUGUCCUCGGGUGAGGUGAGGUGACUCUGCAGCUGAGAAGGGACCUGGAGGGUCUGCUGUCCAUCUUUCCUGCUGCUGGACAGCAAGUCUUCCUUUGAAGAGGGAUCUGGAAGGUGCAUCUUCAUGUCUACCAAGUCUGCUAGGCUGAUGGGAUGAUGAAAAUCAGGAGAGGAAUGGCUGUUGAAGAAUGUGGGUAUACUUCACAGACUCAGUGGAUUUCUGGAGCAUCUCAAAAACAACUCAGCACUGGAAAUCACAAGAGAAAUCAAUGACAGAGUCAGAGUCAAAACAGAAUCAACAAAACUGUGAGGACAAUUGCCAAAUUGGAAUUUGAUGACUCAAGAGUAUGAAUAAUAAUUAUAGUGUACCUAUGCAUAAUGUAAUUCAUCAUUUAUUUUUGUAAUAAGAUAUUUCUAUACUCAAACAGUAGCGUAAAUGGAUAGCAACUAAUUAUUAUUAUGGCUGAUAUUUGUUAAAUAUGACUGGGUGCUUUGCUUGCAUUAUUUCAUUUCAUCUCUGUAUAACUCCAUUAAGGGAGAUACUAUUAUUGUUUCCAUUGUACAGAUGGGGAAAUUUAGCCUCAGAUAGAGUAACUCAUUUGCCAAGUUCCCAUGUAACUAGUAAGCUGUUGAGCCAGUUGUAGUAAGCAGCAGGCUUACUCAGAAUAACAUAACGUGACUUGGCUUUUAAGAGCACAAGUUCUGGAGCCAGAUUGCCUGGGUUUGACCUCCAGCUGUACCAUUUAUUAGCUUUGUGACUCUGGACAAGUUUCUUAGCCUCCCUGUUCCUCAGUUUCUCAUUGAUAAAAUAGGGUUGGUAAUAAGUGCAUACCACAGAGAAAUGGUAGGAAGAUUAAAUGAGUUAAUACAUGCAACACUCUUAGAAUAGCACCUAGCACACAACAGGUAUUGCCUAAGUGCCGGCCUUUAUUAUUUUGUAUAGAUGUAUCUGGUCCUAAAGCUCCCAGCCAUUUGAACCCUACCGUGGUGACGAGAAUAAUGGUAUCCAUUGACUACUGAAUACAGGACAGAGGGCCUGUACAAAUGUCAUAAAUAAUGGCUCAAAGGUCCAGCCACUGUAUCUGUAUACAGCCAAAUACUGAGCUCAUAAUUCAGCAGGUCAGCAAUUUGUACUGGGCUCAGCCAGGUGGUUUUCUGGUUGCAGAAACGGGCUCACAUUCAUUUGCUGUUAGCUGCAGGGGUUGGCUGGGGGCUGGCUUGUCUAAGAGAGCCCUAGCUGGCUUCUGUGCUCCAUGUAGUCUGCCUCCAACUGUCUAAUUCUCACAGUGGUUGGGCAGGUUUCUAAGAGGAAGAGAUGAAGUUGCAAGGCAUCUUGAGACCUUGACUUGAAACAGGCAUAGCAUCACUUCCACCAUAUUCUAUUGGUUAAAGCAAGCAACAGGCCAGCUCUAAUUCAAGGGCAGGAGAAUAGGCUCUGCCUUUUCAUGGGAGGAGAUGAAAAGUCACGUUGCAUUGGAGCCUGUAUACAGGGAGGGGGAUAAAUGUACCUUUAUUUGCAAAGAAUCCACAGUUACUACACAACCUACAUUCAGGGUUGGUUCCAGUUUUAAAUAUUCUGCUCCAGUGUCACCGUAGGCUAACUUUGACAUGUUCUAGAAAGAUCAACCUGUUGGCAUUCAACUUUAUCCAUGAGUCUCUUGUACCCUGUAUCAAAACAAAAGUGUUUUUCUGCAUAUAUGGCCCAAAUUGUAGCUAGAAAGGUAAAGCUUUCAGCAGUGUUUAACUUGCCACUUUGAGGCCAGAGACUUGGAUUCAAAACCAAACUCUACCCAUUAUUUGCUCUAUGGCUGUGUUACCCACUCCUCCUCUCUGAACUUCAGUUUCCUCAUCUGACAUUGGAAUUACAAGAGUUUCUUGAUCACCAGACUGUUGUAAGGAUUAAGAGAGACAACAGACAUGAAGCACCCAGAACAGUAUCUUGUCCCUGGCUCCAUGAGUAUUUAAUUAAUAAUAAUAUUAUUAUUCCCUCACCACUGACAAUGGGAACUACUUUUUCCACCCCCACUCUACAAAUUAUACAAGCAAGGAGUGAGAGUGACACGUUGCCAGCUUGCAAUCUAUAUGAUGAGCUCUGGAUAUUUUGAAUCUCAUUUCCUCCUGAUGGGAGGAUAAACUGAGUCACUUAUCUUCUCAAAGCCAGAAAAGCAAGACAAAAUGAAUAGCUGAGUACAGUAUUUAACCUUGUAGUGCCCCAAAGAGAGGAGACCAACUGGAAAGAUUAGAAAACAGUUUGGAAAUUUGCUGUCUACAACUACUUCUUUAGCUAGCUUGUUUUUUAUUUUGGGGUGUUUUUGUUUUUGCUUUGUUAUUUUGCUUCCCCCCCCCAACAUAGAUCUCAACAGCCAGAGCUUCAGACCAGGGUGUCUUAAAGUACCACAAACCACACUGCAACCUCCUGAGCACAGGAUUAAAGAAAGGGUGAUCUAGGCCAGAGAAGCUUGGGCCUGGAGGCCUUCCAGCUCAGCUCUGUGUCUCUGGCAUGUAAGAAUAUGGUUCUGAUCAACACCUCCAGCUUGGAGUCAUGCACACCAGGUCUGGAUUAGGCUGUGCUAAUGGGUCCUGAAGGGUUCUUGGGUUGGGAGAGACUGAGAGGCAGGUUUCUACCAACCAAGACUCUGGCUCAGCUUGGAAAAAUGUGACAUUUCUGAACAUCCUGCUCAAAAUUCCUGACCUUCUUCAAUUUGUGCUUUGCUCUCUUAAGCCUGGGACUCAGGGCAAACCUUUUGUCUUGAAUAGGACCUGGGGCAGUACCUUCAGAAAUGGGGAACGAAUAGAAAGAAUUUGUCAUUCAGAGUUGGAAACACAGGCUCUGUGGCUGGUUGACUGUGUUUUCUGAACUCCUCUGAACCCCAAAGGUUCUUUCCACUCUGAUAGGUGGGUGGACAGGCAUUAUUAGUGCCUUCUAUCAGAUGGAAAAACUGAGGUCAUGAUGGUGCUGAUAAUAAUUAAAGUUUGCUGAAUGUUUCCUACGUGCCAAGCAAUAUGCUAAGUGCUUCAGAUGCUUUGUUUCAUUCAAGCCCAUUCAUUUUUUUCCAUUUACUAAUGAGUUUACCAAUGUCCAGAGAAGUGAAGCCACAUGCCUAAGGCCUCAUAGCUGGUAAACAGCAGAACUAAUGCACCAUAUUAUUAUUCAUAAUCGUGAGCACUCUUUCUAAAUCAAAUGCACUAGAGGUUCUGAUUUGCUAAUGAGAUCACUAUCCCUUCCUCCAAUUACAUACCCAUGUGGCUUAGACUAGCAUGGUCUCCUAACUUUUUCUUUUAAAUGGUUUCUUUUAUUUAUUGCUACAUUAAAAGAACCAUCCCUCAAGCUUAGUCAAGUAAAACAAACAUUUUUUCAUGGUUGUUUUUGUAGGCCAGAAAUUUGGCCAUGGAAGUGUAAGGUGGUUUAUCCAUGCUCUGCAAUGACU